rnacentral:rRNA from 1 species
GACGAACGCUGGCGGCGUGCUUAACACAUGCAAGUCGAACGGAAAGGCCUCUUUCGGGGGGUACUCGAGUGGCGAACGGGUGAGUAACACGUGAGUAACCUGCCCUUGACUUUGGGAUAACUUCAGUAAACUGGGGGUAAUACAGGAUAGGAGCUCCUGCUGCAUGGAGGGGGUUGGAAAGUUUCGGCGGUUGGGGAUGGACUCGCGGGUUAUCAGCUUGUUGGUGGGGUAGUGGCUUACCAAGGCUUUGACGGGUAGCCGGCCUGAGAGGGUGACCGGCCACAUUGGGACUGAGAUACGGCCCAGACUCCGACGGGAGGCAGCAGUGGGGAAUAUUGCACAAUGGGUGGAAGCCUGAUGCAGCAACGCCGUGUGCGGGAUGACUGCCUUCGGGUUGUAAACCGCUUUCGCUCAUGACGAAGCUUUGUGUGACGGUAGUGGGUAAAGAAGCACCGGCUAACUACGUG